rnacentral:rRNA from 1 species
AUCUAUGGCCAUGCCACCCUGAACGUGCCCGAUCUGGUCUGAUCUCAGAAGCUAAGCAGGGGUGGGCCUGGUUAGUACUUGGAUGGGGGACCACCUAGGAAGACCAGGUGCUGUAGGCU